AUACGGAGGGGGCAAGCGUUGUUCGGAUUUAUUGGGUGUAAAGGGUGUGUAGGCGGCAUAGUAAGUCAGAUGUGAAAUCUCUGGGCUUAACCCAGAAACUGCAUUUGAAACUGCUAAGCUAGAGUACUAAAGAGGUGAAUGGAAUUCUCGGUGUAAGAGUGAAAUCUGCAGAUAUCGAGAAGAACACCAGUAGCGAAGGCGAUUCACUGGGUAGAUACUGACGCUGAAACACGAAAGCUAGGGUAGCGAACGGGAUUAGAAACCCCAGUAGUCC
rnacentral:rRNA from 1 species